AAUUGACGGGGCCCCGCACAAGCAGCGGAGCAUGCGGCUUAAUUCGACGCAACGCGAAGAACCUUACCAAGGCUUGACAUAUACAGGAAUAUGGCAGAGAUGUCAUAGCCGCAAGGUCUGUAUACAGGUGGUGCAUGGUUGUCGUCAGCUCGUGUCGUGAGAUGUUGGGUUAAGUCCCGCAACGAGCGCAACCCUCGUUCUGUGUUGCCAGCAUUUAGUUGGGGACUCACAGGAGACUGCCGGGGUUAACUCGGAGGAAGGUGGGGAUGACGUCAAAUCAUCAUGCCCCUUAUGUCUUGGGCUGCACGCAUGCUACAAUGGCUGGUACAAACGGCUGCAAUACCGCAAGGUGGAGCGAAUCCGAUAAAGCCAGUCUCAGUUCGGAUUGGGGUCUGCAACUCGACCCCAUGAAGUCGGAGUUGCUAGUAAUCGUAGAUCAGCAACGCUACGGUGAAUACGUUCCCGGGGCUUGUACACACCGCCCGUCACAUCACGAAAGUCGGUAACACCCAAAGUCAGUGGCCCAACCGCAAGGAGGGAGCUGCCAAAGGUGGGAUCGGUGAUUGGGAUGAAGUCGUAACAAGGUAGCCGUACCGGAAGGUGCGGCUGGAUCACCUCCUUUCUAA
rnacentral:rRNA from 1 species